rnacentral:rRNA from 1 species
GACGAACGCUGGCGGCGUGCCUAAUACAUGCAAGUCGAGCGAGCGGAACUAACAGAUUUACUUCGGUAAUGACGUUAGGAAAGCGAGCGGCGGAUGGGUGAGUAACACGUGGGGAACCUGCCCCAUAGUCUGGGAUACCACUUGGAAACAGGUGCUAAUACCGGAUAAGAAAGCAGAUCGCAUGAUCAGCUUUUAAAAGGCGGCGUAAGCUGUCGCUAUGGGAUAGCCCCGCGGUGCAUUAGCUAGUUGGUAAGGUAAAGGCUUACCAAGGCGAUGAUGCAUAGCCGAGUCGAGAGAAUGAUCGGCCACAUUGGGACUGAGACACGGCCCAAACUCCUACGGGAGGCAGCAGUAGGGAAUCUUCCACAAUGGACGCAAGUCUGAUGGAGCAACGCCGCGUGAGUGAAGAAGGUUUUCGGAUCGUAAAGCUCUGUUGUUGGUGAAGAAGGAUAGAGGUAGUAACUGGCCUUUAUUUGACGGUAAUCAACCAGAAAGUCACGGCUAACUACGUG